AGUUUGAUCCUGGCUCAGAACGAACGCUGGCGGCAGGCUUAACACAUGCAAGUCGAGCGCCCCGCAAGGGGAGCGGCAGACGGGUGAGUAACGCGUGGGAAUCUACCCAUCUCUGCGGAACAACUCCGGGAAACUGGAGCUAAUACCGUAUACGCCCUACGGGGGAAAGAUUUAUCGGGGAAGGAUUGGCCCGCGUUGGAUUAGCUAGUUGGUGGGGUAAAGGCCUACCAAGGCGACGAUCCAUAGCUGGUCUGAGAGGAUGAUCAGCCACAUUGGGACUGAGACACGGCCCAAACUCCUACGGGAGGCAGCAGUGGGGAAUAUUGGACAAUGGGCGCAAGCCUGAUCCAGCCAUGCCGCGUGAGUGAUGAAGGCCUUAGGGUUGUAAAGCUCUUUCACCGGUGAAGAUAAUGACGGUAACCGGAGAAGAAGCCCCGGCUAACUUCGUGCCAGCAGCCGCGGUAA
rnacentral:rRNA from 1 species